GACGAACGCUGGCGGCGUGCUUAACACAUGCAAGUCGAACGGAAAGGCCCUGCUGUUGUGGGGUGCUCGAGUGGCGAACGGGUGAGUAACACGUGAGUAACCUGCCCUUGACUUUGGGAUAACUUCAGGAAACUGGGGCUAAUACCGGAUAGGAGCCCCUGCUGCAUGGUGGGGGUUGGAAAGUUUCGGCGGUUGGGGAUGGACUCGCGGCUUAUCAGCUUGUUGGUGGGGUAGUGGCUUACCAAGGCUUUGACGGGUAGCCGGCCUGAGAGGGUGACCGGCCACAUUGGGACUGAGAUACGGCCCAGACUCAUACGGGAGGCAGCAGUGGGGAAUCUUUCACAAUGGGCGGAAGACUGAUGCAGCAACGCCGCGUGCGGGAUGUCGGCCUUCGGGUUGUACACCGCUUUCGCCUGUGACGAAGCGUGAGUGACGGUAAUGGGUAAAGAAGCACCGGCUAACUACGU
rnacentral:rRNA from 1 species